UUUAUAUAUACAUAUAGUUUUACAUAUUUGAUAAAAAUUUUUGAAUAAGACGAAUGGUCAAACAUGUCUAGAAAAGUCAACGGCGUCAAUCAUUUAGGGAAGGAGGGAGUAUUACAUAUGCAACGACACACUGCACUACAGGGUUUGGGUGGUCCUCUCCUCUUCUCUUCUCUCUCUGUGUAUACAGUAGGAGAUACAGUAGGUUGGCCAUUGAUCUAGCUACUCGGCGUGCAUGACACAGCCAGUCUCUCUUCUGCCUGCCUCCAUCCUCCACCAUGGAUGAUGCAUCUCUCUCUCUCUCUCUGUGUGUUUUUUUCUUCAGUGCAGUGCAGUGAAAUGCAAUGCGAUGGCCGGUGGCGUGAGGGAGAGGAGAACUGAGAGGAGAGGAAUGAGGUGGAUAUGAUUUAAGAGAUGAUGAGGGAGUGGUCACAUCACAGGAUCCCCAGUAGAGAUCCUUCGUCUACAUAUGCAUGUGUGUGUGUAUGCAGUAUACUGUAUUGCAGUAUGCAACAGACACACACACAAACAUGUACAGAGAGAAAAAGAAGACAGAGGCAUGGCCAUAUAAGUAACCAUACGCACACCUACAUAUGUAGUAGUAGGAGCACAGCACAUGGUGACUAGUGUAGCCUGCAAAUUUUGUCACCUUUUGUUACUCUCUUCUGCUCUCUCUGUCUACUUACAUUACAUGCAUGCAUGUGUUCUCACUCUCUCUCCUGUACGUCUAUCUUGCCAUGCCAUGCCUUGCUGUUGCUUUGCAUUGUACUGACCAGUUUGUAAGCUACCACCAUGCAGCAUUGCAUAUAGUGCAAAUGGUGCAUGUCAAAAAGUGUACUGCAGCUUUCGGGCCUUCGGUUCCCUUCUGUUUUACAUGCAUCGCCAUGGCCUCUUCUUCUUCCUCCUUCCAUGCACACUGCCAUUGCUGUCCCCUUCCAGAGAUCUCUCGAUCUAACCCCUCUCUGUCUCCAAAGUCCCAAAUCUUUAACCGGUGUGUGCUUGGGUGUGCCUGCCUUUUGCAAUGCUACACUUCUUACGUGCAUGACGUGCAGCUAGCUAGCAUGCGCCUUCGUAAUUGGUGAAAACGUACCUAGGUACUAUCUCCUUUUCAAAAUAUAACAACAUAGAACUAGACGUGGCACAUCUUUAUACUAUGAAUAUGAACAGAUAAUCUGUUCACAGCCUGUACAAAUUUAUAAUACUGUAAGUCUAUCUAGGUUUAUAGUAUUAUGAUGUGUCUUGUUUGGUAUAAAGUUAUAUAUUUUAGGACAUAUGAGUAAGGAGUACAUACGUACCUACUGCUUUUUGAAUGCAUGCAUUACUCCCUCUGAUCGAUCUAUAUGGCCAUACGUGCAUGCCUGCCUGUCUAUGAGGUAUUGUCCAAUCACAGGUUUUAGUGGGCCAGCCAGAUUAAUUAUGGUUUGCUCUGGAGUAGUAGUUUGUUAAUUAACUUAGAGCUUUGUUUGAAACUGUCGGUAAAAUCAGGUACAAUAAUAUCUUCUCAUGUUAAUUUGGAACUAAUUAAUAACUCAAAUCAAGAAAGGUCGCAUCACGCAUUACUUCCAUGCACAACUAAUUAAGAACUGAUCGAACUCCAGUUUUUCAUUUCCAAAAGAAAGUGAUGAUCGAAUCCAUGUGUAGGAAGAAUCUCAGUUAAUUAUGUUAAGUCCUGUUUAGAUUUUAACUUUUUUUUAACUUCUAACUUUUCCGUCACAUCGAACUUUCCUAAACACACAAAUUUCCAACUUUUAGGUUACAUAAUUCCAAUUUCUUCAAACUUUUAAUUUUGACGUGGAACUAAACAUAGCCUUAGUACUACUGCUUCCCAUGCUUGCUGUUUUCUUUUAGAAACUUUGAUGCAAGAUCUCAGUCCAGCACGAAGAAGUAGCUAGAGAGGCCACUUCUGAAAAGAGCAACUGAAAAUAAAUAAAAGGUGUCCCCCUCUACUACAUGUAAGGCACACACAGCUAUAUCUAGACAUGCAUGUAAUUGCACCAUGAUGAAGAGAGCAAUAUAUGCAUAGGCUUCUGCAGCUUCUGCCAAUACACAUGCAUGUAGCUAGGUACGUAGCUAGCUAGCUGCUCAUAUGCAUACAUGCUGAUAUUCAUGUACGUAUGUAUAUUGUAUACUUGUAUAUUUGCAUUAGCAUUGCACACAGAUCGAUCUCAGACACAAUGAAUGUGUGUAUGUAGUAUAUAGUAUGUGUGUGAAGAGCUAGCUAGCUAGGAGCUGGAGAGAGAUGGAACAAGAGAGAUCGACAAGAUGUUUAUUUCACAUGCAGAUGACUUCAAUAUGCAUAUGCAGUUAUGCGCAGCUCGGCAGGCCAUAAAAGAGGGGGCUGGAAUCUGUUUUGAAUUGGAGUUGAGCUAUAGCAGCCUUGGUCGAUGAUCAGUGAGUGAAUACUACUCCAGCUACUGAUCUAUCAUCGGGGGGCAUGGUAGUACUGCUGAAUUCUUGAAGAAAGAAUUGUAGUAUGUGCACAAUGAAUGCCUAGUUAUUAGCAGUGCAGGAGAGAUCGAAAGGAUACUCUAUGUUUUGUUUCUGUCAAGUUAUUGCACUAGCAUCAGUGUACAUGUUUGUGUAGGAGAGGCCGAGUUACUGCAUGCAGAACGAAGCAGCAUGCAGGCCAGUAGCAGCAGCAGCAGCUAGCUAGCCCGGCCCUUUGAUCAGGCAGAGAUAAAGUUUUUUGCUGCUGCUGGUGUGCAUGUUGUACUGUAUCAACAUUUCAACCUUUCAGCAAGCAGCAUGGCUACCUAGGGUCGUCGUAGUACGUCCUGUGUGAAGAAGAGUGUCCUCUUCUAAAAUUCACUCACUUCUUCUCCUCUUUCUCACUGGCCUGCAGGAAUUGAUAUGAUGCUGCAUGCUUUCUGUGUAAGUAGCCAGUGCAAGACUAGCAAUAUUACUAUACUAUUAUUCUUCGAGAUGCAUGGAAUCGUCAGGUCAGAGAGGGAGACAGUAUAUAUCAGCCCCAAGAAAUGUUCUGGGUUGGCUUGGCUAGCUAGCUCGUAUAUAUUGUACAUACAGUAGCAGUUAACUGCUGCCUCUGCACUGCAUGCAUGUUUGAAUCAAUUCGUCUUUGGUACAAAACAUAAUAUACUUUUGGGUACACACCUUCAGAGAUCUCUCUGCAUCUCUACUACUAUCAGCUCGGCUUCAUGGCUUUUGUCAUCGCCUCACGUGAAGAAAGACAGCAGCCUGCAUGUAUAUGUUGUACAUACAAACUCUUAACUAGUUUGCAGAUUAAUUUAAAUUAAUCUUGCAAACUGAGGAAGGAUGCGUGAUCGAUCGAGGAGGUGAUGAGGAAAGCUAGAAGACAAAGGUAGCAGGCAGCAAGAAGGUGGUGAUCAAGAAACAAGAACGAUGGAUGGAAUGGAUGCAUCGACUAUGUCCGGCGUGAACACACUCUCUGACAGACAUUAACUUUGUCAACUUUGUCGAGCCAUGCAGCAGAAUCGAUCGAUCGAGGAGAGGAAUGAAUAGAAUCAAUCAAUUAAUUAUUGGCGCCGUGGAGGAGCUAGGAGAUCGAAGAUCCAUGCCAUUGCAUGCAUGACGACGUUGUUGUGGCUAGCACCAGCAUCGACGAUACAGUACUGUACAUGGAUCGUAUUCCCGAGACCCAGACAUCCAGAAACCAGGCUACUAUUGCUGCUGCUACUACAACAACACAACUCUGGUACACACACGGCAGGCGCAGGCUGGGAAUGCACAGGGAAAAUUAGCUGCUGCUACUGCUACUACACCUUAGGAAGCCGUAUGUGUCUAUUACUGCAGUACUGAAGCUGCACACAACACAUGCGAUGUACUGCCGCUUGCCACGGCAUGUUUGAUAUCCUGGUAUAUUCUCAGGCUACUUGAUCUUACGUAUGUUUUGUCUGGCAAGUUUUUUCCUUUUAAACUACAUCAAUACAUUAAGUAUCGCCUUUAUUUGGAUCCAAUGAAUUUAAUUAAGUAGGAGUACAUGCAGUUGAGUUUUCAGACCCACUUUAAUUUGUGAGAAAUGAUUGCCUGUGUCCGAUCCCAAAAUUUUAUUUAUAAUAUUUAUUAUGAAGUUUUGCACGCACGUACAACAAUGCAUA